rnacentral:rRNA from 1 species
AUUACAGAGCACAAAUAAUUAGAAGAAAAAUCAGCUGAAAAGUAAGUUAAUUAUAAUUGGUUAUUUACCUUUUGCAUAAUGGUUUUAUUAUAAGUAGUAAGAUUUUAAUUUCUCGAAGUUAAAAGAUCUAAGUUAAUUUUAAGUAUUAGGAAUUAGUAAAUGUUUCAUAAUUUAGUUAGAUUAUAAAAAUUAACUUAGGGGUGAAAAGCCUAACAAUUUUAAAGGUAUCUAGAUUAACUUUAGAUGUAUUAAGUACAGAAUUAAUUUUGAAUUAAAAAAUGUUAAGAUUUUUUAAUAUAAGGAUAAAUUAUAAUAUAAAAAAUUAGAGAUAAGUCCCAAAUAUUAUAAGGAAUCAAAAAUUACUCUAAUGAGUAAUCUUUAAAAGAAAAGUUAUAAUAUUAAAAAUCAUAAUAAUAUUAAAUUAUGUAAAAAUAAGUAUAAUAAUAAUGUAAAAUAAAGGAAUUCGGCAAAAAUAAUAUUCACUGGUUUAUCAA